rnacentral:rRNA from 1 species
UACGGAGGGGCUAGCGUUGUUCGGAAUUACUGGGCGUAAAGGGUGCGUAGGCGGCUAUCCAAGUCAGACGUGAAAGGCCUGGGCUCAACCCGGGAACUGCGUUUGAGACUGGGUGGCUGGAGUCCGGGAGAGGUGAGCGGAAUUCCCAGUGUAGAGGUGAAAUUCGUAGAUAUUGGGAAGAACACCGGUGGCGAAGGCGGCUCACUGGACCGGUACGUGACGCUGAGGCACGAAAGCGUGGGGAGCAAACAGGG